rnacentral:lncRNA from 1 species
CCUUGGCCUGAGGUGGCACUAUCCCUCAGAUGGGAGUAAAGGGGGACACCACUUCCAGCUUGGUGAUGAAGGGCUUGGGUGUGCUCUUGGAGCAGGGAGGGGCAACUUCAGUGGCCCACAGCAGCCAGGCCCACCUCUCAACAUCUCUUUGAGCUGUGAGCUCAUCAGGAGGUGAACCAAUGUGUUGUCGUCCCCAUGACAGUGCACCCAAGGCACACCAAGGAGAGAGCCUGGUCACAUCCCCAGGGACUUACAGGGAAGUGGUGGAUGGCAUGGAAAGGCAUUCUUGCAGCACAGAAUCGGAUCAGUUUUCAAAAGUCUUACACAGACAGUGGAAGGCAAAUAUGCUCUUUCUAAGACACAAUACAGCUCCGACCACCACCAGGACUGUGCUGCAGGCUGUACAUUCCCACUGCAGGAUGGCAAUGUGUGUCUCACUUAAAGCUUCC